CCGGGCGGGCCGGCCGCUGGGGGGGCGCACCCCGACUUCCCCGGGGUCACAUGGGCUGCGGGGGGCGGGCGCGCCGGGAAAGGGGGAGGCGCGGGGAGCUCGCUGCCUGCCUGCCUGCUCGCUCGAGCCGGGGACGAGACGCCCCCCACCCCUCCAGCUCGGCCUCUCCAUCCAAGUUCCCGGUCCCCGGCCGCCCGGAUCCGGGGAUGGCAACCGCCGCCCGCCCGCCUCUGCGCCCUUUUUUCCAGCCGCCGCGCAGAAAUUUAGGUCAAGGACGUCGGGAUCAAACCCAAACCCUGGCGCUUCUCGGGCGCUCCCGGAGACCCCCAGGACGGGGGGCGGGGGGCUUUCAGGAUGGUGCGGACACCCUCCGCACAAACCCCAGCCACAAGUUUUAUUUUCCUUUCGCGCUGGAAGUUCUGUCUGGCUCUCGAUCCACACCGGCACGUCUUGCGCGGCUCCCCGCCCUUCCCCGGCAGAGGAACUUUUGUAUCCACGUCCAUAAGUCAAUCAGGCUGCAGUUUUGCCUUCUCAUGUUGCCUUGCUCUGGUUAUACUGGCCUCAAAAAAUGAACUGGUAAGUUUCCUAUAAAUAGCAUACAAUUGACCUUGUUCCUUUAUUUAUUGGGUUGACUGGUAAGUAUAGCUCAUUUACAUUUAAUGUAAUUACUGAUAUUUUUAAUGAACCUUGGAGGCACAAAACUGUAUUAGUUACAAUCUCUGGCAUAAAUAUACUCUCAUCAUUAGGUAUAUCCAUGGCCUUAUUUCAUUUUUUCCUAUGAUGAACACUUAUAAACCUGCUAUUCAACCAGAGAACUAAAAUAGUAAUGGUGACUGACAACUCCUUGUGUGCUCCUCCCCUGUUUGCUCACCUAAAGAAACUGCCAGUCUCAAUCUUGUCGCUGAGCUGAUUAAGAAGAAAGCUGACUCCUACCUUCCAAUCUUGUGUCCAUUUCAUCUGCUUCCAAACAUAAAGCCGCCUGCUGCUUUUGCAAGAUCUUGGCUGGUUUAAAAAGGCAGAUUCAGGAUUUGUGUGCAGGGAUUUCAGGAAUGUGGGGUCUUCUGGUUUGUUUUCUGUGUGGAUGGCACAGCAGAAGGGAAACAAAGCAUUCUGCUGCCUCGCAUGGAGGUUCUUCUAGUAGCCAGGCGACCUUGAGCGGAAAAGCCACCCUCAGUCUCCAGUACCCCAUCUGUAAACUGCGGGUCAUGAUGGUUUUAAAGUAUCUUGGUCCUCCCGCAAGAGGCGAGCCUAAUCUUCCCACUCCCACCCCGGGUCCCCCAAUGUGGGCUGUACUUAGUCACUGGGUUCUGAUGAAUAGAAUGUGGAGGAAAUGAUGGUGGAUGAAUUCCAAGGCUGGAUCAGAAAAGGCACCUGGCUCCCACCUGGCUCCAUCUCUCAGGUCACUCUAGGGAAAGCCAGCUUUCAUGCCGUCAAGAUGCUCAAAGAGCCUGAUACAUAGCCCCACAUGGAGAAGACUUGCAGUUUCCUGUCGGCAACCUGAACUAGCCUGCCAGGAUUGUGAGACAACCUUAAAGCCGCAUCUGCCAGCCCCACCCCAGCCUUCAGAUGAUAGCUGCCCCCGCUCACACUCAACAGGAACUUCCCUAGAAACCUGGAGCCAGAACUUUCCAGCUAAGCUACACCCAAUUCCUGCCCCUCAGAGACAUUUAAUACUUGUUUGAAACUACUAAGUUUUGUACUAGUUUGUUACACAGAAUAAAUGACUAAUACAGAGA